rnacentral:rRNA from 1 species
GCUACCAUGCAGUCGAGCGGAGAUAUAUUGAAAGCUUGCUUUUAAUAUAUUUUAGCGGCGGACGGGUGAGUAACGUGUGGGUAACCUGCCUCAUACAGUGGAAUAAUCAUGUGAAAACGUGACUAAUACCGCAUGACAAUUCUUUAAGGCAUCUUAGGGAAAGAAAAGGAGCAAUCCGGUAUGAGAUGGACCCGCAUCUGAUUAGCUAGUUGGUGAGAUAACAGCUCACCAAGGCGACGAUCAGUAGCCGACCUGAGAGGGUGAUCGGCCACAUUGGGACUGAGACACGGCCCAAACUCCUACGGGAGGCAGCAGUGGGGAAUAUUGCACAAUGGGGGGAACCCUGAUGCAGCAACGCCGCGUGAAGGAAGACGGUUUUCGGAUUGUAAACUUCUAUCAAUAGGGAAGAAAGAAAUGACGGUACCUAAAUAAGAAGCCCCGGCUAACUACGUGCCAGCAGCCGCGGUAAUACGUAGGGGGCAAGCGUUAUCCGGAAUUACUGGGUGUAAAGGGUGAGUAGGCGGCAUGACAAGUAAGAUGUGAAAGCCCGCGGCUUAACUGCGGGAUUGCAUUUUAAACUGUUGAGCUAGAGUACAGGAGAGGAAAGCGGAAUUCCCAGUGUAGCGGUGAAAUGCGUAGAGAUCGGGAGGAACACCAGUGGCGAAGGCGGCCUACUGGGCUUUAACUGACGCUGAGGCACGAAAGCAUGGGUAGCAAACAGGAUUAGAUACCCUGGUA